ensembl:lncRNA
CAGACUGUACCUCUUAUGCUCUUUACGAACCUGCUUAGUGAAAAAGGGCCCAAAACAAUCCAUCCCACAGAAGGAGAAUGGUGGUGAGGGAUCAACACGGUUAGCAGGUAAAUCUGCCAUCUUUUGUGUUUCUGUUGGUCUGCGAGCUCUCCUGCAUGUAACACAUUGUUUGAUGUAACUUGCCACACUUUUGCUGCCACCCACUACCCAGUAACCAUGAUGCUGACUUUUUUCAUGGCCGUAACCUAUGAUCAGAGAUGUAAUCACCCCAUCUCUUGGUAAGAUUACCGGAUGCUUCAAGUCAAGAGCUAAGGAGGGCUUCUUUAAUCGCCCUCCCACUCUGAGAACACCGUCUUGCAUUACUGGAUCAAGCUGGAACAACUGAUGGUUUUGUGGAAGUUUAACAUGAUUCAACAUUUGUAUUUCCUCUUUGAAGACAUUCUUUUGAGCUAACUUCACAAGUACAAGACUGACUAUUCUAUCUGCAUUCUAGUGUAUUCUUUCAUUCAGUAAAUGCAUGAACUGAAUGUCAUCUUGUGAUAUGCUCUUUUCCCCAUGGUUAGUAUCUUUGAAGUCAGCUUCAAGGGCUCUGAUGACAUUGGCUGGUGUCAAUGGUGGAAGUUCCUUGACAGAUACCCGAUGGCACAGACCUGUCACUUCUGUUGACUUUGCGACCUGAGAUGAAUUGCCAACAAUGCUACAACCCAGGUCAGUUUUGAUACCAUACGGCUCAUAGUCACCUCCUGUUAUGACUUGUCGUGUAGCCAAGGCUCUGGGGCAGUCAUAGCCUAUGAGGAGUCCAACCUCACACUCCAUCAGCUUUGGUAUUUCCUGUGUUAUUUGGGUCAAAUGUUUCCACCUUUUGGCAGUUUCAGGGGUAGGAAUGUGAGAACGUUCAAGUGGAAUGAAGUCUCUGGUGUAAGCAAGUGGCAAGUUAACAAAGCUUUUUGAGGUAAACCCUCUAACUCUAAGCCCACUGACUCUUUCACUCUGAACAAUGGAAUCUUUUACCAUCAUAGUGGUAAGCUUCAACUUGAGUGGCUCUGUGCCCACCCCCAUCUUCUCACUUACCCCUUGGUCUACAAAGGUGUUGCUACUUUGUGUAUCUAGUAGGGCAUACACUAAGGUCUCUGUUUCAGGGGUGGUGAUUGAAGAAAUCCAAACAGGCACUAUCGUGGAUGUUCUCCCACCUUCACCUCUACCAACGCAGCAGGAAAGGGAGGAUGUGUUUUCUUCUGCUUGCAUAGCAUGAGAAGAUGAUGCGUCUGCAGCAGCAGAACAGUCCUCAUGAAGCUUACUGGAAAGCUUCUGGCAUUUGUGGAUGGAGUGACUCUCUCCACAGCAUAGGCAUGUUACCGUGUUUGAAGAUAAUGCUGAUAUGCUCACUUUCCUUGAUCCAUUUUAAUCUCUUGAGCUGUUCUCUACAGCACUGUAUGUUUUCAUAAAUGACAUUGAUUUAUCUGCUUUCACAUUUGUACUGAACACAGUAGCCAUUGGACGUUUUACAUCUCUUAGUGGCCUUCAAAGUCUCUUCAGGAGACUUUAAGGCUUGAAAGGAUGUCACAGAAUUGCAUGCUAUAUCUGCUUCCUUUGCUUCAAAGUCAGCAAACUCCUUGAAAUUGGGGUAUUCCUCUGUUUGUCGCAGCUGCUUUGUGACAUGGCGAUUCCAGUGAGAGAUCAACCAAUCUGGGAGUUUCUGGAGCAUCUUUCGGUUUUCCUCACAGUCAUUCCACACCUGGAGUCCUUUGAUGUGAGGCAUGGCAUUGCUGCAGGCUGCCAGAAAAAUCACUAAAUUGUUUUAAUUUCACUGACUCUCUUGAGCCAAUCUUCGACCAGUUGUUCAGUUUCUCUCUAUAUGCACACUGGAUCACAAAGCGAUGGGCGUAUCGAGCAUUCAAUGCUUCCCAUGCUUGAUUGUAAGCUUCAUCAUCCUUUCUGUAGAAGGUUCCUUCUACUACUGUUAGGCUCUGGUUUGUGACUCAGAUGCUGAGGGAGACACACGGACUCGGGGAGGCAGUUGAAGUGUUUAUUCACACAACCGGAAUCAAACAGAGGGAUUGUUCAGGGUUGAGUGGUUCCAGGAGGUGAGCGGCGAGGAGAGUUGAAUGGCGAAGUGAGCAGGUAACAGGUGAGCAGGCAGCAAUGGAAGCUGAGUGGCAAGGUGAGCAGGCAGCAAUGGAAGCUGAGUGGCAAGGUGAGCAGGCAGCAAUGGAAGCUGUGUGGCAAGGUGAGCAGGCAGCAGGUGAACAGGCAGCAAUGUCAGAGCGGAAUCUGGACAGAGGAGAUGCUGGUUAACAAGGGCACAUUGAAAUAAAGUUGUCUAGAACGCAUAGGGACU